UACGGGGGGUGCUAACGUUGUCCGGAAUUAUUGGGCGUAAAGCGCAUGUAGGUGGUUGCGCACGUCGACGAUGAAAGCCUACCGCUUAACGGUAGAAACAUUUUCGAUACGACGCAGCUUGAGGGAGACAGGGGUACGCGGAACUUUCGGUGUAGGAGUGAAAUCCGUAGAUAUCGAAAGGAACACCAAUGGCGAAGGCAGCGUACUGGGUCUCAUCUGACACUAAGAUGCGAAAGCGUGGGGAGCAAACGGG
rnacentral:rRNA from 1 species